rnacentral:rRNA from 1 species
AGAGUUUGAUCCUGGCUCAGAUUGAACGCUGGCGGUAUGCUUUACACAUGCAAGUCGAACGGCAGCACGGGGCAACCUGGUGGCGAGUGGCGAACGGGUGAGUAACAUAUCGGAACAUAUCCGGAAGUGGGGGAUAACGUAGCGAAAGUUACGCUAAUACCGCAUAAGCCCUGAGGGGGAAAGGGGGGGAUCGCAAGACCUCUCGCUUUCGGAGUGGCCGAUAUCGGAUUAGCUAGAUGGUGAGGUAAAGGCUCACCAUGGCGACGAUCCGUAGCGGGUCUGAGAGGACGACCCGCCACACUGGAACUGAGACACGGUCCAGACUCCUACGGGAGGCAGCAGUGGGGAAUUUUGGACAAUGGGCGCAAGCCUGAUCCAGCCAUACCGCGUGAGUGAAGAAGGCCUUCGGGUUGUAAAGCUCUUUCAGCCGGAAAGAAAUCGCACUUUUUAAUACGGAGUGUGGAUGACGGUACCGGAAGAAGAAGCACCGGCUAACUACGUGCCAGCCGCCGCGGU